rnacentral:rRNA from 1 species
AGCAGCCGCGGUAAUUCCAGCUCCAAUAGCGUAUAUUAAAGUUGUUGCAGUUAAAAAGCUCGUAGUUGAAUUUCGGGAUCAGUACGGUGGUCGUGCCUCUGGUAUGUACUGUUGUUACUGGUUCCUCCCUUCUGAAGAACUGUCAUGUCAUUAAUUUGGUGUGGCGGGGAAUCAGGACUGUUACUUUGAAAAAUUAGAGUGUUUAAAGCAGGCUCGCGCUUGAAUACAUUAGCAUGGAAUAAUGAAAUAGGACGUUUGAUCCUAUUUUGUUGGUUUCUAGGAUUGACGUAAUGAUUAAUAGGGAUAGUUGGGGGCAUUAGUAUUCAAUUGUCAGAGGUGAAAUUCUUGGAUUUAUUGAAGACUAACUACUGCGAAAGCAUUUGCCAAGGAUGUUUUCAUUAAUCAAGAACGAAAGUUAGGGGAUCGAAGACGAUCAGAUACCGUCGUAGUCUUAACCAUAAACUAUGCCGACUAGGGAUCGGAUGAUGUUAAUUUUUAAUGACUUAUUCGGCGCCUUAAC